CGGUGAUUUUCGCCUUAAAGCUGUGGAGGCACUAUUUAUAUGGUGCCCACUGUGAGAUCUAUACCGACCACAAGAGCUUAAAGUAUUUGUUUACUUAGAAGGAGCUCAAUAUGCGUCAGCGGCGGUGGUUGGAGCUGUUAAAGGAUUAUGAUGUCGAUAUUCUCUACCAUCCCGGGAAGGCAAAUGUGGUCGCGGACCCGCUGAGUAGGAAGUCGGCGAAGAAUCUCGCGUUUGAUAUUACCCAGCAAACACCCCUAUGGCGGGAUAUGAAAUGACUGGAUCUCGAAGUGGUUCCUCCCGAGAUCCCAGCCCUGUUGAUGGCAUUCGUUGUCCAACCGACCUUGUUGGAGAGGAUCAAAGAUCUGCAACCUGCGGAUCCAGAACUCCAGAAGUUGCGGCGAAACAUCGAGGAUGGUCGAGGCGGCGAUUUCAGUAUAAACGCCGAUGGUGCGCUUCGGUUUAGAAACCGAUGGUGUGUGCUGAAAGAUGGAGAGCUUCGCGAAUUGAUUCUACAAGAAGCACACAGAUCUCCGUAUGCUGAUCACCCGGGCGGCACCAAAAUGUAUCGAGGAUUGAAAAUGCACUAUUGGUGGUCGGGAAUGAAGGGUGAUAUUGGGCGCUUUGUGGCGAAGUGCUUAACGUGCCAGCAAGUAAAAGCAGAGCGUCGAUUUCCAGCGGGAAAGCUUCAAAGCCUAUCUACCAGGGUCAAUGUGCCUCUGCUGCACAAUACCAAAUGCAUAAUCAAUGCCUCAAAUGCACUAAUGCCAAAUGUAUAAUGUCUACAACAUGACAAUCGGGAAAAUCUACUAUCCCUAGGCUCAAAUGCCAUAGUGUUCCACUACACUAGAUUUGAUGCCACUCGUUUAUGUCAUGAUGUUAUAUGUGUCUUAAUACACUAAAUCGACAUGCCACUCAUCAAUAUUAUAGUGUCUUUGUUACACUAGUCCAAAUGCCACUCGUCUAGGCCAAUUACAUGUCCAGUUCAUCAUCAUUCUUGUCACUAUAGGAUUCUUGUCACAAGACCCCAUCCUCAUGCAACCUAAGAUCAAGUGUCAAGCCCACAAUGCUACACAACCUAGGUAACAUGCAAGGAAUGGAAAUGUAAUCAUCUACUAAUCCUAUAAUGCACAAUAUAUCAACAUAUAGGAAUAUGAUCAAAAUAUAGAACUUAGACAUAAAAGGAAGCUCAGUUGCUUCGGGAUGACACCCCCCACCUUUUAUAGCGUUCCGAUUGCUCGUCGUCACUUGCAAUCGGCCUCCCGCGGCGCACGCCGCACGGCUUGACCCAAUCCACGCGCAGCCACCUUACGACCGCCGAUUCGCGAUCCGUCUAUUCUGUAGUUUAUUCCCCGAUACCACGAUGCUACGAUUCUAUUUUCAUGAUUUUUGGAAGCUUUCGCCGCAAGCUGCGGCAAUCUGUACCUUAACGACUUCGUUCUUUAAUAUCUUCGCGUACGCUCGUCGUAUCGCCGAACCCACUUCGCCAACACGUCAGAAAACCUAGCAAUUAGGUUUAUAUAUGAUCAAUUUAGAUCAAACCCUCACAUAUUGCAAAAUCCUAUUUUUGAGCCCUAACAUGCAAUUACCCCCAAAUAAUCCAAAUUAAAUGGAGCAACAUGCUAAGAAUGCUCAUUAGAGGCUACUAGAACACUUAAGGUUAAGGAUUAAGUCAAAUCCCAAAAGUUUACCAAAAUAUGAACGCUGAGACGGAAGCACGCCACUCCAACGGGCGCACGAAAGCUCGAUCCGUCGCUCCCAACGCGUUCGCAAGCUCGUUCUCCGCCAACGCCGCGAAUUCGAGCAAAAGAUCGAGAGAGAUGAGAGAGUUAUUAGAGAGAGAAAGUGAGGAUUUCUCUCACUACCACCAUGAACGUGUGCUUGUGGGGGUGGUGGUGGCUGUGAAGAAGAAACCAAGUCACUGGAAGCUUCUACUUAUAGUCAACACCCCAAUAGUAGCAUACACUAUUCACUUCAGGUAGUUCGAAAUCUGAUAUCUUUCGCCGGAGCCCUCUGAAUAUCCAUUUGAGCUCAAAUUUGACAGUCAUGUUCGGUUUUGCUUAACUUAACAAAAAAAAUUUUAAUCUUUCAGUUUUGACCCCGUUUGGUCACCGAAAGCUAUACCGAACUGUAAUCAUUAUCAGAUAACUAUCGAAUUUUAUUUUUCACCUUCCGGGUGUCAGAAUGGCAUGAAACUUUAAAUCUAACCUCAUAAAAAUAAUUCUGACUUAUCCUCCAGUUUUCAUAAUUUUCUGACACUGUGCAUUUUCUGCUAACUUAUCUGCCCCGUUUCACACAGAAAAAUUCUAAAUAUUCUGUUUUCGCUCCGAUUUCAGCACAGGUCAUUCCCAACCUAUAUUUCACUUCUCUAAAUCCAAUAAAAAUAGUAUCUCAUACUAUUUUAUUUAUUUUCACUUUUACAUUUAAAAUCCGGUAUGUUAUAUUCCACCACAACCUCACCGGAACCAUUUAAAUGUACACCGUAAAUUCAUAGUUUUAGAAAUCCGAUACCCUACAUCCUCCCCUCCUUAAAAGGAGUUUCGUCCUCGAAACUCAAAUCUCAUCUCAAUUCGAGUUUUCGAGCAUCUGAGGGUAACAAUGCAUUUUUGCACUCCGGGAUGGCCUUUCUCUCAUCGGAACUACCCAAAGGCCGACUACGGAGGAUGUGAGACCAAACUCACUCACAUUUGCUAAGCACAACACCAAAUGUGCAUUACAAUUUCGUAAGUUUAGGUGGCAACGUAAGUCGACACUCGACGACUCUACACGCUCAACACCACUUGCUACCGAAUCCAGAGAGUACACUUCGAUUCAAUCACCGGCAUUGCCUAAAAGCAAUAUCACGAGUGCAUCGACCCAUCGUAAGUACUACCAUCACAAUCGAAUUUUGCUCUACUACGAGAUGGCACACUUCGGUACAUCUCAAAUGUUAAUCCUCAAGAGAGCAUAUCCUCAAGUCUCGCAUGGCUAGCCGCUAUUCGAGUGUCUCCAAGAGACCACUUUAUCUUCUUUUUCCAUUGCCACGGCCAACACCAAUUCGUUCCUGCAAUGAAUUCACACGAACACUUUGUUCGCGAAUCCAAGCCAAACUCCUAACUGAGUUACCGGCCAAACCACUCACCUCGGUUUUCCAUGGGUGGACCAAAGGUCACCAACCAUACGUAGGUCUACCGCCCAAACCUGUCUCAACACGUAGCGUCUCUCGCUCGCAAGCGUGGACCCAAUCAACACUAUUGGGCAAAAUUCUCACUUGGGAAUUCGCACACACUCCGACUAGGAGCAACUAUGACCCCAAACCGCUACCAAUCCUUGGGUCAGGUCACUACACACUCGGUGUGUCAUCGAUCUUGUAAUCCACAGGUGGCAUUCCACAUUCUCGAGUCUAAACUCGGACUACCUCCCUGACCAAAACUCUGCCCUACCCGUAGGUAUCAGGCCGCUGUCUCUCACAGCUGACUGUGCUUGCCCAAUGGGCCCAGGCUCCACAGUCCACAAAUGGUCCAGGCAUGGGUCGUCCCCAAGCAAUAGCCGUCAUCGUCGUCCUGCACGACAUGCUCUAUCGAGUCACACGUACCACUAUCGGCUCCUAUGCACCUAGUGCGAGCCACCAGCCCCACGAGUGACCCAUGGCCUGCUUCACACUUAGCAAUGCUAUAGUGCUACUGCCAUCUCACUCCCCCGGCUAAAUAGAAUUCGCACUCCACGAGUAUCUACACUCGAGCGCUCUACGCCUCUACAGUGUUCCACAUGAAGUCCAACAUUAGGCAAUCUUGCUUAUGCACACCGGCCGCACGAGCACAACCGCCUACCUCACCUUGAGGUACUACCAGGCCCACGUGCUCAUACUUGGCCACUAAUCUACCGCACUCUCAACAGUGAUUCUACUUUCACUGUUUAAUUUACCGGAACAAUAUCCGAAUUCUCGGAUUACUCGGGUGCCUACAAGCAUUAUGGCUCAACUCUAGCAAUCUACUGAUCAUGUUGCCUUGAGAGUCGCUUCACCAUUUCAUCUACACCACGAGUCUCAUUUCUCGUCCAUAGGCCACUACUAGCAAUUUGCUAGUGACGUCUCGCUCUCUACCUGCUCCAGCAGGCGCUAUACUCUCUCACACAGGUAUGCCCGGGUACCCUCACCUACCCGUCCACUGGUCCCUACUAUACUAAUGUAUAAAUAGUAGCAACUGACCAUGAAAAUGCAUGCAAUGCACCAAUUUAAUAUCAUGCAGAAACACACAUUUGCUGCAACUAAACCAUACCUGCCGUGGCAUCUUCGACAGCAGCAGGUUCCUCGACUUGAGCAGCAAACACCUGGCCACUCGGAGUCGACUGGGCCACCUCCGACUGACGAGGUGCCAUCACACGUCCAACUGACGCAACAGUUGGUAGGGCUCCUCCAUAAUGGCCCGAAAUCGCCAAAGACGAUGCAACAGACGGGACAGGCGAGGUCCUCCUUGGACAGUGGCGGCUGAUGUGUCCCGCCUGACCACACGUGAAGCAUUUUCCCUCUUUUUGCUCGCAAUGGUUCGGAUCAUGUUUACCUCCACAAAUGACACACUUCCGAGUCCCACAACUCUGGGACCGUGCUCGCGGGUACUUCGAAGGCUUCUUAGACCUUGACUGACCUCUCGAGCCGUCAGAGGCUCGCUUCUUACCGCCAUCCCUCUUGGACGCCUCUCGCUCCUCGCGGACGUGGGCAUUACUAUGCUCCGCCCACAACGCUCGAUCGAGCACUUCCGCAAAUGUAGUGAGCUUCAGAAUGUGAACCGCUUUAUAUAUAUCCGGUCGGAGUCCUCUCACGAACCAGUUGGCCCAAUCUCUGUCGUCUCGCACCACGUCGGGGACGCCGUCGAUAAUAUGUGAGAACUCCUGCUCAUACUCUCCGACCGAGCAGUUUCCUUGCUUUAACUUUCGGAAUUUAUCUUGGAGCUUCUUUUUCUUACUAUUGGGGAAAUAGUUGACAUAUAACAAGCUCCGAAACUCUUUCCACGUCAAUGGCGGAAGGUCGGGAGACCGAUCUCGCUUGACCCGCUUCAACCACACCUUCGUCGCCCGCUCCAUGCAAUGUGUAGCAAGGGGAACUUUAUCCUUCUCUAGUAUAUAGAGAUCUUCAAAAAGAGUCUCCAUUGAGUCCACCCACGACUCGACCAUCCAAGACUCAACCUUCUUCUCGUUGAACAUCGGCGGACUAAACUUUCGAAACUUCAUAAGAGCCGCAAGUGCGCGCUCCCUCUCGGCUUCCAUAGCUACACCUUCGGGAUUUAAUGUCCCCGAACUGGCAGCCACCAUCGCCGGCGUGGGUUGCGCCGCAACUGGCACAGCUGCAGUGGCCACACCCUCUGUCACGACGGGCACGACCACCGGAGGCGCGGGCCGCUCAACAUUCGCUUGAGCCGACGCCAGCUGCGCUACCAACUGUUGUAGCCUCGCAAUCUGGUCCUCUUGGCGCUGCAUCGCGCCGACCAUCGAAGCGAUCUGCGCUCGCAAUUCCCGCACUUCUUCAGAUCCCGACUGCUCGGGCACCUCGGGAGGUGGUGCCAAAGUGGAUCUAGUCGCGGGGCAUCUCUUUGGUGCCAUAGUUCCUGAAACACGACCACUUGGUUAAUCACCUUAACUCGUUAAUCUUGUGGCAACUACUAGACAACGCGACUCAAAUCAGGCAGAAGUCAUACAAGGGUGCCUAUUCUCAUCACUAGGUUUUAUGUUGUCGCGCGCCAACAUGAACACACUUGGUUGAGAAUAUACCACAUCUUGAGUCUCCCUCUAACAUCCGUUUUAGAGGUAUACUAUCUUAACCCAAUCGAUUCAACUUCCGCCACCGUUAUAGGUUCACGUUCUACUCACGCACCUAUAACCUUACGGUUUACCGUCCUAGGGUCUCCUAAGUCAUCCUAGACUCUCUCUUUACUUACUCUUAGCUUGCUCUGAUACCAACAACUCUGUCACGCCCCGCCCCAAAUCCAAUACUAAUUUGGCACGGUUCGGGCGCACCGGACGGACCGCCGAACGGACAGCACCUCUCCUGUCCGCCCAAGGCCAAGCAACCAAAUCAUGUACAGUUAAGCGCCCAGGGAAUGCUUAAAUAACAUACAUGAUCGAUACGAUGCACACAAGUGCAAUACAUCUAAGAGCAAGAACCACAAGUAAUAUACAAGUGUAUAAAGAGAGAUAGUCUAACUAUCACUACCAUUCAACAUUUACAUCAUUUGAAUAUAUUACAUUUUCAUCUUCCAAAUGUAAAUACAUAUUUGCCUCAAAUACAAAUAGCUCUCCAAUAACUAUCCAAAACAUCAUCUAGUACACGAGGGUACUCUAAUGCAUAAAGGAAAAGCUACUAACUAGGCUCACUUAGGGCGCUAUGCCCUUGCCGCUGUCCUCGCUCGGCUCGCCUCUGUGUGUACCUGUACCCCAAAACCACAUGGGGUGAGAACUAUAUAAAUAUAGUUCCCAGUGGGUUCGGCCGCCGACGCCGCCGGUUUUUCUACUAGGUCUAAGCUGGCACAGAUAGAGAGAUAGAUAGAUAU
rnacentral:lncRNA from 1 species